rnacentral:misc_RNA from 1 species
GAAAUGCGAUAAGUAAUAUGAAUUGCAGAAUUCAGUGAAUCAUCGAAUCUUUGAACGGACAUUGCGCCCGCCAGUAUUCUGGCGGGCAUGCCUGUUCGAGCGUCAUCUCAACCAUCAAGCCCCCGGGCUUGUGUUGGGGACCCUGCGGCUGCCCGCAGGCCAUGAAAUGCAGUGGCGGGCUCGCUGUCCACACCGAGCGUAGUAGCAUUACACCUCGCUCAGGGCGUGCCGCGGGCUCCAGCCGUCAAACGCGACCUUACCGCAUACCAAGGUUGACCUCGGUUCAGGUAGGAAGACCCGCUGAACUUAA